GUCGAGCGAAUGAUGAGGAGCUUGCUCCUCUGAUUUAGCGGCGGACGGGUGAGUAACACGUGGGUAAUCUGCCUGUAAGACGGGGAUAACUCCGGGAAACCGGGGCUAAUACCGGAUAAUAAGAGAAGAAGCAUUUCUUCUUUUUGAAAGUCGGCCUCUCGCUGACACUUACAGAUGAGCCCGCGGCGCAUUAGCUAGUUGGUGAGGUAACGGCUCACCAAGGCGACAAUGCGUACCCGACCUGAGAGGGUGAUCGGCCACACUGGGACUGAAACACGGCCCAAACUCCUACGGGAGGCAGCAGUAGGGAAUCUUCGGCAAUGGGCGAAAGCCUGACCGAGCAACGCCGCGUGAGCGAUGAAGGCCUUCGGGUCGUAAAGCUCUGUUGUUAAAGAAAAACAAGUACAAAAGUAACUGCUCGUACCUUGACGGUACCUAACCAAAAAGCCACGGCUAACUACGUGCCAGCAGCCGCGGUAAUACGUAGGUGGCAAGCGUUAUCCGGAAUUAUUGGGCGUAAAGCGCGCGCAGGCGGUCUCUUAAGUCUGAUGUGAAAGCCCACGGCUCAACCGUGGAGGGUCAUUGGAAACUGGGAAACUUGAGUGCAGGAAAGAAAAGUGGAAUUCCACGUGUAGCGGUGAAAUGCGUAAAGAUGUGAAGGAACACCAGUGGCGAAGGCGGCUUUUUGGCCUGUAACUGACGCUGAGGCGCGAAAGCGUGGGGAGCAAACAGGAUUAGAUACCCUGGUAGUCCACGCCGUAAACGAUGAGUGCUAGG
rnacentral:rRNA from 1 species